GACAGAGGAUGCAAACGUUGCUCGGAGUUACUGGGCGUAAAGCGCGUGUAGGUGGUCUGAUAAGUCGGGUGUGAAAUCCCGGGGCUCAACCUCGGAAGUGCACACGAUACUGUCGGACUUGAGUACUGGAGAGGAGAGCGGAAUUCCCGGUGUAGAGGUGAAAUUCGUAGAUAUCGGGAGGAACACCAGUGGCGAAGGCGGCUCUCUGGACAGAUACUGACACUGAGACGCGAAAGCGUGGGAAGCAAACAGG
rnacentral:rRNA from 1 species